rnacentral:lncRNA from 13 species
GUGUCAGAGUUAAGAAUCAUUCAUGGGGCCGGGCGUGGUGUCUCACGCCUAUAAUCCCAGCACUUUGGGAGGCCGAGGCGGGCAGAUCAAGAGAUCGAGACCAUCCUGGCCAACAUGGUGAAACCCCAUCUCUACUAAAGAACACAAAAAUUAGCUGGGCGUGGUGGUGUGUGCCUGUAGUCCCAGCUACUUGGGAGGCUGAGGCAGGAGAAUUGCUUUAACCAGAAAGGCAGAGGUUGCAGUGAGCCGACAUCAUGCCACUGCACUCUAGCCUGGUGCCUGGCAAUAUAGUGAGACUCUGUCUUAAAAAAAAAAAAAAAAAAAAAAAAGAAUCAUUCAUGAAUAACUUUUGGGGACUGACUUGAUUAUAAAGAGGCAAAGCCAAGCUUCAGCUCAAGCCAGUAAACUACUGGUCACAGGAAAGUUAUUAAUAUAUAGUGCUCUAGUUAUUAGGGCUAUGUAGCAGAUUUCUCAAAGUUAUUAACAUAUAGUGCUCUAGUUAUUAGGGCUAUGUAGCAGAUUUCUCAAAGUUAUUAAUAUAUAGUGCUCUAGUUAUUAGGGCUAUGUAGCAGAUUUCUCCAAAACUUAGUGUUGUGAAACGACCAUUUUUAUUUUAUUUACUCAUUUAUUUUUUAAAGCACAGACAUAUUGAAAGUAUACUCCAUAGAGUGGGAGCCGGCUGGAGCAAGCGGCUCAAGAGCCAAAACAAUCAUUUAUUAUGCUCACAGAUUAUUAAGCUUGAGAACCCAGACAGAAAUCACGAUGGCGAAUCUCUCUCUGAUCAACAGUGUCUGCAACCUCAGCUGGAGGCUCAAAGACUGAAGUUGGAAUCAUCUGAAGGUUCACUCACUCACAUCUCCAAAGGCAUGAACUGACCACAGCCCCAUCAAGAGGUGGAGUGUAAGUGGGGACAUGAGUUUGGGUGGGCUUGUGACAGUUCCAGCCAAAGGUAUGCAACAGAAGUGAUGACCUGUGGCCUCUGAGGCUGGCUCAUAAAAGGCCAUGCAGCUACUCUGCCUUGUUCACUGGAACACUCACUCUUAAUUAGAGCCCUGGGCU